AUUGUGAUCUUGAAUCAUUCUUCCCAUUAUGCACCACUGAUGGAAGUACCUUUUUCUCUCCCUGCCAUGCUGGAUGUUCUAAUGUAACUGGAACGGUUUAUCAUGAAUGCCCUACAAAAGAUCGAUCGGCGACUCCAGGAAUUUGUGAUACAGGGUGUCCGUUUCUUGUACCGUAUGUGAUUGCAUCAGUUAUCAAAAUACUGGCUGCAACUAUGGCAACAGUACCAACUCAGAUCAUCAUUCUACGGUACGUAAGUGGACAGGACAAGGCACUAGGAAUAGGAUUUAUGUCCUUUGUUAUGUCUCUGCU